CUAGAGUACUGUAGAGGGGGGUAGAAUUUCAGGUGUAGCGGUGAAAUGCGUAGAGAUCUGAAGGAAUACCGGUGGCGAAGGCGGCCCCCUGGACAGAUACUGACACUCAGAUGCGAAAGCGUGGGGAGCAAACAGGAUUAGAUACCCUGGUAGUCCACGCCGUAAACGAUGUCUACUUGGAGGUUGUGGCCUUGAGCCGUGGCUUUCGGAGCUAACGCGUUAAGUAGACCGCCUGGGGAGUACGGUCGCAAGAUUAAAACUCAAAUGAAUUGACGGGGGCCCGCACAAGCGGUGGAGCAUGUGGUUUAAUUCGAUGCAACGCGAAGAACCUUACCUACUCUUGACAUCCAGAGAACUUUCCAGAGAUGGAUUGGUGCCUUCGGGAACUCUGAGACAGGUGCUGCAUGGCUGUCGUCAGCUCGUGUUGUGAAAUGUUGGGUUAAGUCCCGCAACGAGCGCAACCCUUAUCCUUGUUUGCCAGCGAGUAAUGUCGGGAACUCCAGGGAGACUGCCGGUGAUAAACCGGAGGAAGGUGGGGACGACGUCAAGUCAUCAUGGCCCUUACGAGUAGGGCUACACACGUGCUACAAUGGCGCAUACAGAGGGCGGCCAACUUGCGAAAGUGAGCGAAUCCCAAAAAGUGCGUCGUAGUCCGGAUUGGAGUCUGCAACUCGACUCCAUGAAGUCGGAAUCGCUAGUAAUCGUGGAUCAGAAUGCCACGGUGAAUACGUUCCCGGGCCUUGUACACACCGCCCGUCACACCAUGGGAGUGGGCUGCAAAAGAAGUAGGUAGUUUAACCUUCGGGGGGACGCUUACCACUUUGUGGUUCAUGACUGGGGUGAAGUCGUAACAAGGUAGCGCUAGGGGAACCUGGCGCUGGAUC
rnacentral:rRNA from 1 species